CGGAGGAGGGGUCCCGAUGCCCCGGUGAGGAGCUGCGAGCGGCUGGAGAUUGUUGGUGGUCGGCGGGGUAGAGGGAGGCCUAGGAAGCAUUGGAGAGAGGUGAUUAGGCAGGACAUGACUAGUAUGCAGGUUACCGAGGACUUGACCCUUGAUAGGGGAGUCAGGAGGUCUAGAAUCAGGGUUGCAGGCUAGGGGCUCUUAGAGUCCUUCGUUCGCCCCACACGGGGUUGGGUGUGGGAUAGUAGGGUUACCCGUAGAUGACUAGUGUUUUAGCGUACGUCCCCUCUUGGUUGGUAAUAUGAUAGUUGUCGCUUGUUAUUGUCGCAUGCGACGGUAUUUAUNN
rnacentral:lncRNA from 1 species